AGUGGCAGUUGGAACUUUUCAGGAGGGGAGGGGGAGUGGAACGUCUAACUCCUGAGCAUCAGAGACCUUUGUGGAGAAAUGUGCUUUCAGUGCCUGGUAAUUCAAGUUUUCUGAGGACCGGAGUUGUGUUGAUAAUAGGAAGAUCCCUCUUUGCCUAUUGGAAGUAUAAGAAUGUGAGCAUGGGGGAAGGAAGGAGGCGCAGAACCAAUGCAGCCAUCUUUGGCAGUGAUUUAUAGACUGGGCAGGUCUGCACUGAUUUUCAAGGAUCGGAGAUUUGAUGAAGAGGAUUCAUUUCAAGAAAUAAACCUUUUAAAUUAGCCACAAGAUGAAAUAAAUUUCCUUGUUUAAAA